UAAGACUUGCUGUUUCUAGGUUGACGCGUUCUUUGCCUCUAGAUUCCUCUGCGGGUGGUGGUUUAAGGCCGUGUUUGGCUGUCACAACAAUAUUAAGAAGGAGAUGAUGGUGGAGUUAUUUGUGCUCGGGUGUACCGGAAUCGUGGUGUUCCUCCACGGAGCCCAUUUCUUCUUUCACCUUCUCUCCCAACACAUGGCCAUUCGAUCCCUCAGUUUCUUGGGAUUUGUUGGAUGGUAGAGCAAAAUGGGAAUGAACAAUAUUGAAGCCAUAUGAUAUGAUAAACAAUUCUUCACGCCAAAGUUUUGAUGAAGUAUGGAGAAUCAUAAUUACCUAACCAAAGAGGAAGUUCUUCUGAGAUGGGAAUUGGCUUGCACCUGCCGUGAGGCUUUGUAUUUAAUUAUUAUGAUUGAAUACAUUUGGCAAGCUUUGGUGCAUAAGGGGCAAUAAAGCUUCAAAUAAAUGGGAGUUAGGCUUUUGUUGAAACUUACUACAUAUAGAGAGCUAAACCAUUUUGUAAAUUGUAGAAUCCUUCAAUGUUUGUUUCAAAUUCUCCCACUUGAAUAAUGCUAUAUAUAAAGAAGUAGUUAAAUAAUUACUUCCUCUAUCAA